rnacentral:rRNA from 1 species
AGAGUUUGAUCAUGGCUCAGAUUGAACGCUGGCGGCAUGCCUUACACAUGCAAGUCGAACGGCAGCACGGGGGCAACCUUGGUGGCGAGUGGCGAACGGGUGAGUAAUACAUCGGAACGUGUCCUGUAGUGGGGGAUAGCCCGGCGAAAGCCGGAUUAAUACCGCAUACGAUCUGUGGAUGAAAGCGGGGGAUCUUCGGACCUCGCGCUACAGGGGCGGCCGAUGGCAGAUUAGCUAGUUGGUGGGGUAAAGGCCUACCAAGGCGACGAUCUGUAGCUGGUCUGAGAGGACGACCAGCCACACUGGGACUGAGACACGGCCCAGACUCCUACGGGAGGCAGCAGUGGGGAAUUUUGGACAAUGGGCGAAAGCCUGAUCCAGCAAUGCCGCGUGUGUGAAGAAGGCCUUCGGGUUGUAAAGCACUUUUGUCCGGAAAGAAAACCUCGUGGUUAAUACCCGUGGGGGAUGACGGUACCGGAAGAAUAAGCACCGGCUAACUACGUGCCAGCAGCCGCGGUAAUACGUAGGGUGCAAGCGUUAAUCGGAAUUACUGGGCGUAAAGCGUGCGCAGGCGGUUCGCUAAGACAGAUGUGAAAUCCCCGGGCUUAACCUGGGAACUGCAUUUGUGACUGGCGGGCUAGAGUAUGGCAGAGGGGGGUAGAAUUCCACGUAGCAGUGAAAUGCGUAGAGAUGUGGAGGAAUACCGAUGGCGAAGGCAGCCCCCUGGGCCAAUACUGACGCUCAUGCACGAAAGCGUGGGGAGCAAACAGGAUUAGAUACCCUAGUAGUCC